rnacentral:rRNA from 1 species
GGGACACGUGGUAUCCUGUCUGAAUAUGGGGGGACCAUCCUCCAAGGCUAAAUACUCCUGACUGACCGAUAGUGAACCAGUACCGUGAGGGAAAGGCGAAAAGAACCCCGGCGAGGGGAGUGAAAAAGAACCUGAAACCGUGUACGUACAAGCAGUGGGAGCACGCUUAGGCGUGUGACUGCGUACCUUUUGUAUAAUGGGUCAGCGACUUAUAUUCUGUAGCAAGGUUAACCGAAUAGGGGAGCCGAAGGGAAACCGAGUCUUAACUGGGCGUUAAGUUGCAGGGUAUAGACCCGAAACCCGGUGAUCUAGCCAUGGGCAGGUUGAAGGUUGGGUAACACUAACUGGAGGACCGAACCGACUAAUGUUGAAAAAUUAGCGGAUGACUUGUGGCUGGGGGUGAAAGGCCAAUCAAACCGGGAGAUAGCUGGUUCUC